AUUGAACGCUGGCGGCAUGCUUUACACAUGCAAGUCGAACGGCAGCACGGGGCAACCUGGUGGCGAGUGGCGAACGGGUGAGUAAUAUAUCGGAACGUACCCAAGAGUGGGGGAUAACGUAGCGAAAGUUCCGCUAAUACCGCAUACGAUCUAAGGAUGAAAGCAGGAGAUCUUCUGACCUUGUGCUCCUGGAGCGGCCGAUAUCUGAUUAGCUAGUUGGUGAGGUAAAGGCUCACCAAGGCGACGGUCAGUAGCUGGUCUGAGAGGACGACCAGCCACACUGGAACUGAGACACGGUCCAGACGCCGACGGGAGGCAGCAGUGGGGAAUUUUGGACAAUGGGCGCAAGCCUGAUCCAGCAAUGCCGCGUGAGUGAAGAAGGCCUUCGGGUUGUAAAGCUCUUUUGUCAGGGAAGAAACGGUUGUGGCUAAUAUCCAUGGCUAAUGACAGUACCUGAAGAAUAAGCACCGGCUAACUACGUGCCAGCCGCCGCCGUAA
rnacentral:rRNA from 1 species